rnacentral:rRNA from 1 species
CUACGGGGCGCACCAGUGGGGAAUAUUGGACAAUGGGGGGAACCCUGAUCCAGCCAUGCCGCGUGUGUGAAGAAGGCCUUUUGGUUGUAAAGCACUUUAAGCAGUGAAGAAGACUCUUCGGUUAAUACCCGGGGACGAUGACAUUAGCUGCAGAAUAAGCACCGGCUAACUCUGUGCCAGCAGCCGCGGUAAUACAGAGGGUGCAAGCGGUAAUCGGAAUUACUGGGCGUAAAGCGAGCGUAGGUGGCUUGAUAAGUCAGAUGUGAAAUCCCCGGGCUUAACCUGGGAACUGCAUCUGAAACUGUUAGGCUAGAGUAGGUGAGAGGGAAGUAGAAUUUCAGGUGUAGCGGUGAGAUGCGUAGAGAUCUGAAGGAAUACCGAUGGCGAAGGCAGCUUCCUGGCAUCAUACUGACACUGAGGCUCGAAAGCGUGGGUAGCAAACAGGAUUAGAUACCCUAGUAGUC